CGUCCAGACUCCUACGGGAGGCAGCAGUGAGGAAUAUUGGUCAAUGGGCGCGAGCCUGAGCCAGCCAAGUCGCGUGAGGGAAGACGGUCCUAUGGAUUGUAAACCUCUUUUGUCGGGGAGCAAAAGACGCCACGCGUGGCGUUCCGAGAGUACCCGAAGAAAAAGCAUCGGCUAACUCCGUGCCAGCAGCCGCGGUAAUACGGAGGAUGCGAGCGUUAUCCGGAUUUAUUGGGUUUAAAGGGUGCGCAGGCGGAAUGUCAAGUCAGCGGUAAAAUUUCGGGGCUCAACCCCGUCGUGCCGUUGAAACUGGCGUUCUUGAGUGAGCGAGAAGUAUGCGGAAUGCGUGGUGUAGCGGUGAAAUGCAUAGAUAUCACGCAGAACUCCGAUUGCGAAGGCAGCAUACCGGCGCGCAACUGACGCUCAUGCACGAAAGCGUGGGUAUCGAACGGGAUUAGAUACCCGCGUAUC
rnacentral:rRNA from 1 species